CCUGACAGAGUUUACAGCAUAUAUUGGUGGAUUCUUGUCCAUAGUGCAUCUGCUUUAAGAAUUAACGAAAGCAGUGUCAAGACAGUAAGUAUCUGCGUUUAUCUCACAAUGAACUGGCUGAUAGUGGAAUACCUGGAAAUUCUUUCAAUGUGUCAUCCCUGGUUGAGCUAGAUCUGUCCUAUAACAAGCUUAAAAACAUACCAACUGUCAAUGAAAACCUUGAAAACUAUUACCUGGAGGUCAAUCAACUUGAGAAGUUUGACGUAAAGAGCUUCUGCAAGAUCCUGGGGCCAUUAUCCUACUCCAAGAUCAAGCAUUUGCGUUUGGAUGGCAAUCGCAUCUCAGAAACCAGUCUUCCACCGGAUAUGUAUGAAUGUCUACGUGUUGCUAACGAAGUCACUCUUAAUUAAUAUCUGUAUCCUGGAACAAUAUUUUAUGGUUAUGUUUUUCUGUGUGUCAGUUUUCAUAGUAUCCAUAUUUUAUUACUGUUUAUUACUUCCAUGAAUUUUAAAAUCUGAGGGAAAUAUUUUGUAAACAUUUAUUUUUUUUAAAGAAAAGAUGAAAGGCAGGCCUAUUUCAUCACAAGAACACACACAUAUACACGAAUAGACAUCAAACUCAAUGCUUUAUUUGUAAAUUUAGUGUUUUUUUAUUUCUACUGUUAAAUGAUGUGCAAAACCUUUUACUGGUUGCAUGGAAAUCAGCCAAGUUUUAUAAUCCUUAAAUCUUAAUGUGCCCCAAAGCCUGGAUUAAAUACAUAUGGAUGUUUACUGUCUUGCACCAAAUUAUCUUGAUACAUUCAAAUUUGCCUGGUUAAAAAAUAGGUGGUAGAUAUUGAGGCCAAGAAUAUUGCAAAAUACAUGAAGCCUCAAGCACUUAAAGAAGUAUUUUUAGAAUAAGAAUUUGCAUACUUACCUAGUGAAACUUUUCUAGAAUUAUUUUUCACUCUAAAUCAUGUGUUUCUCUUUGAUUAUUUGCAUGUUAUGUUUAA
rnacentral:sRNA from 1 species